UAAUUUAUUAAUAAAUUUGAAUCCCUUUUAAUUAUCUUGCCCUCACUCUAUAAAUAUAAUUUAUUUCUACUUUCACUAGUCUAGCCUCUCUUACUAUACUCUUCAAAAACGUUGAAGGCAAGUGACUCCUACUCCCGCAGCUAAUCUUCUUCAACAGCGAAUGUAUGGGAACAUUUUCAUGUAACUUGAAGAGAAUCUGAUAAUAGUGCAAGUUAGUAUUAAAAAACUAAUCAGGUCAUCUCAACAAGAAUUUUCAAAUAUUAUGAACGAAAAGAUAAUUCAAGGGACUAACAGCAAGAUUCAUUAUGCAUAAUACAACUAUAGACUGCUGAUUGUACCAACUCUCAAGCUAGUAUUCAUCAACUAUGACGUUCUUCUUAUAUUUUAAUGACCUAAUGGCGUUUUUAUUCUUUAAUCAAAAUAAGAUACUU